UACGAAGGGGGCUAGCGUUGUUCGGAAUUACUGGGCGUAAAGCGCACGUAGGCGGACAUUUAAGUCAGGGGUGAAAUCCCGGGGCUCAACCCCGGAACUGCCUUUGAUACUGGGUGUCUGGAGUAUGGAAGAGGUGAGUGGAAUUCCGAGUGUAGAGGUGAAAUUCGUAGAUAUUCGGAGGAACACCAGUGGCGAAGGCGGCUCACUGGUCCAUUACUGACGCUGAGGUGCGAAAGCGUGGGGAGCAAACAGG
rnacentral:rRNA from 2 species